rnacentral:lncRNA from 1 species
AAAAAUCAAAAAUCAGUACAUUCUGAUGAAUAGAAGCGUUAAAGUUAUAAUUUUGUAUCCAUUUUAUUGAUAUUUCUGCCUUUUUGCAAGAGUUAUCUCCCUUUUCAAUGCAAAUCUCCAUAGCAAUUUUGAAUGGUGAUUUUCUAAGUCUUCCUCAAGUUAGAUUUUAUGGGACUUUUUCUGUGUUUAUUUGGGGUAUAAUACUAAAGAUUAAAACAUAAAAAUCUUAUGUUGCAAUUACGGGUUAGGGUCAAAUUUAUGCUAGUUUGACUGGACUACAUACAGUUCAAAUGCUAGAAAGUUUUCACUUUGCUGGCUGUUUGUACAUAUUUUGAAGGUGUGCAUGUGGUAUAUUGAAGUUUUUGUUUUUAAGGAUGUCAGAAGCAAAUAUUGAAGCAUUCCUGGCUGAGGAGCCAAGCCCAUUGCUAGUUUACCAAGAUAUCAAAUUACCAUCCUUUUUACCUCUAAGAGGGGAUGGACUUGAGAAGAGAAUGAAAGAAAUUACCGAAUUUAACUUCCUUGAAAGCGACAUACUAAUAUGCGGUUAUCCGAAAUCAGG